rnacentral:lncRNA from 1 species
AUUUUGGAAAUUCCAACGCCAAAUUCCACAUCUUCCAAUGUUGCUCAUCGUUACUGUGAAGUUUCCUGAAGUUUGGAGCAUUUUGAGAAUUUUUGAAAUUUUUGGUGUAGUUUCCAUGGCAACAUAGUAGUUCCAAUGAGUGCCAAAAUCAUCCAACACCUGUAUAUAGUGGGCACCUACAUUGUAUUAAAAUAUAAUGAUUCUGAGUUAAAGCAUAUCCAAACAGUUCACCAAAACAAAAAACUGGAUUUUUUCACAUUUGUUCUGUUUCCAUGGAAACGGUAGCCAUCUUGAACCAUUCCAUGCUUCCUGCAACUCUGCACCUGGGGGUCCUUACUAUAGUAGAGUUCCAUCAACAUUGGUCCAUUGGAUUUCGAGAAAUCACCUGGACAAAAUUUGUUGCAAGAAGAAAAAUAAUAACUAGAUUUGUAAUUGCUAGCAAUAACGGAUGGCACCCUUCCCCCAUUGCCAGGUGAGCGGCAGCCAUUUUGAAAAUUCCAAAGUCAAAGAGCGCAUUUACAAAUGUUUAUUAACAUUGUUGUAAAAUUUCAUCUCGUUUGGAGCAUUUUGAAAUUUUUGAAAUUUUUGCUGUUUCCAUGGUAACAGUUACCAUUUCCAAAAUUCCAAAGACAGGUGCCACAUUGGUACAUGCCAUGUUACAUAUCUAUAAAGUUUCAUUGGGAUUGAUGCUAUAUUCUUCAAGAAAAUGUAGCUUUUAUGUGUUUUCCCAUAGGGUCAAUGUUAAACUUUCGCCCUGUUUCCAUGACAAUGGCGGCCAUUUUGGAACCUCUUGAUAUUGCAUGCACAUCUAGGCAUAUCAGGUAACACUUCCACAAAGUUUCAUCCACUUGGGUCUUAUAAUGAAGAAUUUUGAAUUUUGAAAAUUUUUCACAUUUUUGCAGUUUCCAUGGAAACGGCAGCCAUCUUGAACCAUUCCAUGGUGCCUGCAACUCUUCACCUAAGGGUCCUUAAUAUAAAAGAGUUCCAUCAACUUUGGUCCAUUGGAUUUCCAUAAAACUCCUGGACAAAAUGUGUGGAAGAAAAAUAAUAAAAACUAGAAUUGCCAUUGCAAGCAAUAGCGGAUGUCACCCUUCCCCCCAUUGCCACUAAGCGGCAGCCAUUUCAAAAACUUUUAACAGUGAAUGCACAUAUUUGCAUGGCUAUACAUUUUUCUGUAAAUUUUCAGUACAUUUAGAUCAUUUUUUAAAAAUAUGACAUUUUUGCUGUUUCCAUGGCAACGGCAGCCAUUUUGAAAAUUUCAAAGUCAAAAGUCUCAUCUAUACAUGCCAGUUUACAAUAAUAUUAAGUUUCAUUAAGUUUGGAGCAUUUUGAAAAUAUUUGACAUUUUUGCAGUUUCCAUGGCAACGGUAGCCAUUUUGGAAAUUCCAACUUCAAAAGUCUCAUGCAGACUUGACAGUCAACAAUCAUAGUAAGUUUCAUUACUUUUUGAGCAUUUUGAAAUUUUUGAAAUUUUUGACAUUUUGGCUGGUUUCUAUGGUUACACAGACCAUUCCAAAUUUCUAAUGGCAGAUACCACAUUGGUACAUGGGAGGGAACAUACCAUCAGAGUUUCAAUGGAUUUGACCUACCCUUUUAAGAAAGUAAAUGCCACUUUUAGGUGUUUU